CCUACGGGAGGCAGCAGUAGGGAAUUUUCGUCAAUGGGCGCAAGCCUGAACUAGCGAUGCCGCGUGAGUGAAGAAGGCCUUCGGGUCGUAAAGCUCUGUUGCGGGGGAAAAAAGGCAGCAUCAGGAAAUGGGUGCUGACUGAUGGUGCCCCGCCAGAAAGUCACGGCUAACUACGUGCCAGCAGCCGCGGUAAUACGUAGGUGGCGAGCGUUAUCCGGAAUGGUUGGGCGUAAAGGGUGCGCAGGCGGUCCUGCAAGUCUGGAGUGAAACGCAUGAGCUUAACUCAUGCAUUGCUUUGGAAACUGGAGGACUGGAGAGCAGGAGAGGUCGGUGGAACUCCAUGUGUAGCGGUAAAAUGCGUAGAUAUAUGGAAGAACACCAGUGGCGAAGGCGGCCGCCUGGCCUGUUGCUGACGCUGAGGCACGAAAGCGUGGGGAGCAAAUAGGAUUAGAUACCCGGGUAGUC
rnacentral:rRNA from 1 species